AUACGUAGGUGGCGAGCGUUGUCCGGAAUUACUGGGCGUAAAGGGUGCGUAGGCGGCAUUACAAGUCCAAUGUGAAAUCCCCGUGCUUAACAUGGGGUUUGCAAUAGAAACUGUAAAGCUAGAGUGCAGGAGAGGUAAGUGGAAUUCCUAGUGUAGCGGUGAAAUGCAUAGAUAUUAGGAGGAACACCAGUGGCGAAGGCGGCUUACUGGACUGUAACUGACGUUGAGGCUCGAAAGCGUGGGGAGC
rnacentral:rRNA from 1 species